rnacentral:rRNA from 1 species
AUGACUUUAUAUAAGCGCACGGCGCGAGGUGGCGACACGGGGGGCGCCGGACGACAAAGUACUACUAGUACCACUCCCUCCCUGUCCGUCUGCUCGACCCGAUCAGCUCGCCACCAGCAAGCAACCGCUCUUUUUAGCCCCCACUCGCUCCACUCUCCUCACGAUCCCUCCCCCACUCCGGCCGGCCACGCACAGAGCGGAACGCUCCCCGACUCCGGCCAAGAGCUCCAGCCCCGAUCGUCGUCGUCCAUGGUGAGGUCCAACUCUAUCGACAGCUGCUACUCCUCCAUCCAGGACGUCACCUACAGCUGCGGCUACUGCGGCUACGCGCUGAACCUGAGCUCGGCGGCGCGGAACACGGCCGGCAUCGGCUCCAAGUACGGCAAGAAUAUAAGGAAGAAGGGCGUCGUCGCCUUCGUCGCCGUCGACGAGACGCGCUUCACGCAGGCCGACGAGGUCACCUGCGCGCCCCGCCUCCGCCCCUGGACCUGGCGCCUCUUCCGGCGGAGGUCGCGCCUGCUCUGCGGCAAGUGCGGCGGCCGCAUCGGCGCCGCCUACGAGGUCGACGAUGACGAGGACCCCGCCGGCCUGUCCGCGUGCGCCGGCUCGGACGACGACGGCGACGACCUGCGGACGAGCCCGGGCGACGAUAGCGGCGGCGUCGGCGCGUCCAGAAGGAGGAACUACCUGAUCAGGAUCGGCGCGCUGCAGCCCUCGACGGACGAUCCUCCUCCCGCUGAUCCCUUCUCUCUAUGA